CGGGGACAUCGGGUCCGGGUCAGCCCACGGAGAAAAAACCCACUCGUGGCCAGCUCCCGUCCUUCGGACAGCGUGCCGAACAGCAAGUGGAUGGGAAAGGAGCCCUCUACAACACAAACCUCAUUGACUAAUGGGCCGGUUUUGGGUUUCGCCUUCGAAAGGUUCGGAAAUGGGCAGCGUUGUGUUACUGCCCUGCCGGCUCCCAGCCUCCGAGGCAGCACGGGGCUUAUUAGCACCGCCGAGACACGGCUCCGAGCAACAAAUAAAUAAAUAAAAGCGCUCUUGCUUUUAUUUCGUCGCGAUGCUUGCGUCCCCAGACCCCUACACUUCGAGACAAAAACACAACAAAAAAAUGAGAAAGCAACAAAAUCAAAUUUCUUUUGGGAAGAGGGUUAUUUCUAAGGGGAGAGGGGAUGCGUGUUCCGCCUGUUUUCUCCAUUGUUUUGCUGUUUGUUUUUUUCCGGCGGAAUCGAUGAAAACCCGCCGAGUGCCUUUGCACGAGCCCCGUCUUCCCCCCCAGUUCCUCGCCGCAUCGAAAAAUCACGGAAAAGAGGAAAAUUUCCAGCGCAAAUGCCACGGAUCCGCGCCCCGGCGGCGGCGGAGGCAAAGCCGGCGUGGAGAGGCUCCGGAGGCUGCAAAGCCCGGGCUGUGCCCAGCCUGCGGGCUGCUGCCCCUCGCCUCCCGAGAAAUAAAGGGGCUGGCGGCUGCUCCGAGCCGCCUUGUUGUUGUUUGGUUGUUUGCAUCCAGUUCUGUUUUAUUUCUUAUUUUUUUCAUUAUUAUUGUUUCUAUUUUUUUUGCGGCUCGAAACCAUUUCUGCGUGAUUUUGAACGGGGGUGAAUGGCACGGCGUGCUUCGCAAAUCCGUGCCAUUUUACCUCUGCCUGGGGUUUAAAGCGAAAGGUUUCAAUUUUUAGGAAAAAAAAAAA